rnacentral:rRNA from 1 species
GACGAACGCUGGCGGCGUGCUUAACACAUGCAAGUCGAACGGUGAAGCGCUUUCGUCCUUGGAUGAGUGGGGAACGGGGGAGUAACACGUGGGCAAUCUGCGCUGCACUCUGCGAUAAUCCCGGGAAACGGAGGCUAAUAUCGCAUACGACACUCCUACGCGGCCUGUGGUGUGAAGGGUUCGGGCGGGGUAGUGUUGCGGCGCGGGAUGGGCUCGCGGUGUUUGGGUAAGUUGGUGGGGUGGGGGCCUAAGAAGGCGGGGCGGGGUGGCCGGCCUGAGAGGGUGAGCGGCCACACUGGGACUGAGACACGGCGCAGCAUCCUCGGGGAGGCAGCAGUGGGGAAUAUUGCACAAUGGGCGAAAGGCUGAUGCAGCGACGCCGCGCGAGGAAUGAAGGCCUUCGGGUUGUAAACCUCUUUCGGCUGGGAAGAAGCGAGAGUGACGGUACCUGCAGAAGAAGCACCGGCUAACUACGUG